rnacentral:rRNA from 1 species
GGGGCACAGAUCCAGCAUGCCGCGUGUGUGAAGAAGGCCUUCGGGUUGUAAAGCACUUUUGUCCGGAAAGAAAUCGCUCUGGCUAAUACCUGGGGUGGAUGACGGUACCGGAAGAAUAAGCACCGGCUAACUACGUGCCAGCAGCCGCGGUAAUACGUAGGGUGCGAGCGUUAAUCGGAAUUACUGGGCGUAAAGCGUGCGCAGGCGGUUUUGUAAGACAGGCGUGAAAUCCCCGGGCUCAACCUGGGAAUUGCGCUUGUGACUGCAAGGCUAGAGUGCGUCAGAGGGGGGUAGAAUUCCACGUGUAGCAGUGAAAUGCGUAGAGAUGUGGAGGAAUACCGAUGGCGAAGGCAGCCCCCUGGGACGUGACUGACGCUCAUGCACGAAAGCGUGGGGAGCAAACAGGAUUAGAUACCCUGGUAGUCCACGCCCUAAACGAUGUCAACUAGUUGUUGGGGAUUCAUUUCUUCAGUAACGUAGCUAACGCGUGAAGUUGACCGCCUGGGGAGUACGGUCGCAAGAUUAAAACUCAAAGGAAUUGACGGGGACCCGCACAAGCGGUGGAUGAUGUGGAUUAAUUCGAUGCAACGCGAAAAACCUUACCUACCCUUGACAUGCCACUAACGAAGCAGAGAUGCAUCAGGUGCCCGAAAGGGAAAGUGGACACAGGUGCUGCAUGGCUGUCGUCAGCUCGUGUCGUGAGAUGUUGGGUUAAGUCCCGCAACGAGCGCAACCCUUGUCUUUAGUUGCUACGCAAGAGCACUCUAGAGAGACUGCCGGUGACAAACCGGAGGAAGGUGGGGAUGACGUCAAGUCCUCAUGGCCCUUAUGGGUAGGGCUUCACACGUCAUACAAUGGUGCGUACAGAGGGUUGCCAACCCGCGAGGGGGAGCUAAUCCCAGAAAACGCAUCGUAGUCCGGGAUCGUAGUCUGCAACUCGACUACGUGAAGCUGGGAAUCGCUAGUAAUCGCGGAUCAGCAUGCCCGCGGUGAAUACGUUCCCGGGUCUGUACACACGCCCGUCACACCAUGGGGAGGUGGGGUUUUGCCAGAAAGUAGUUAGGCCUAACCCGCAAGGAAGGGGGCGGAUUAC